rnacentral:sRNA from 1 species
AAGUUUGAGAAUGGAGGCCACGGGGGGUUCCUGGAGUCUUUUAAGAGGGCCAUCCGCGUACGCAGCCACUCCAUGGAGACCGUGGUGGGCGGCCAGAAGAAGUCGCACGGUGGGGGCAUCCCUGGCAGCCUCAGCGGGGGCAUCUCCCACAACAGCAUGGAGGUCACCAAGACCACCUUCUCGCCUCCAGUGGUGGCGGCAACGGUGAAGAACCAGUCACGGAGUCCCAUCAAGCGACGCUCGGGGCUCUUCCCCCGCCUGCACACGGGCUCAGAAGGCCAGGGCGACAGCCGGGCACGAUGUGACAGCACAUCCAGCACACCCAAGACCCCGGAUGGUGGACACUCCUCUCAGGAGAUAAAGUCUGAGACCUCAUCCAAUCCCAGCUCUCCGGAAAUCUGCCCCAACAAGGAGAAGUAAGAGAGUGAGGGUGGGAAAGGCCAGCGUUGGCCACGUGGAGCCCUGGAACAUGCCCUCUGCCUCCUGGCCAGCUGAGAGUGACCAUCUCCUGCCUCUGGAACUCUCCAGAACACAAAGGCCGAC